CCGUGCUUGGAAUUCUUAUCUCGUUCGUUGUCUCUAAUGGAAACUAUGCGGGCUUGCAAGUCUUGGAGCACAACAAAUCCAUGCUGGAUGGAUCAUGCAAUUAAAGGAGAUUAACAAGCAACCUCUCUAUGAGCUUUGGGAAUUGAUGGUGGAGAGCAAGAAAAAAGUCCUCUCCAGAAUUUUGGUUCUUUCUUCUCUUCCACACUC